GUCUGCUCUCAAGUAAAACAGCUCAGCCACUUUUCUGUGGAGGAAAAGCAGAAUGAAAUAGUUUUGCUUUAUCUGUCAAUUUGCGUUUAUUUACAAAUUGAAAUGGAAUAAAAUAAAGAUGUUCACAGCCUGAUAAAUGAGGAUGCGUGCACAUGUUUGCAGAUUGAAACCCUCUGAUGCUCUCUUUUUGUGGGGAGGGAAUUCAGAAGUACAGGCGUAUGUACAACAGAAUGAGCGCUAAGUUUCUGCCCACUCCACAUUCUUCAUUGUUUUAUCUGCAGACAGAGAUGCUUUUGGUACUGCUUUGAUCAGACAGAUCAUAUCUAAUAAAAUAUUCUCUUUUUUUCUCAGACGCUUGAACCUUGGGAUUCCCUUUUCCUUGAAUCAGGAUCUUCAAAAUGGUUACGCUGUGAUAUGAAGAAGUCUGAUUUCUCAGAUACUAACUCAUAAAUAUUAACAUUCUCAGAGUCUCUCUAGAAUAAUUUAGAAAAAUAAUUAUGUCCAUCCUUAUGAAAUUUCCUAGGUGAUGAGAAUGGAAGUGAUAAAUGGAGACCACAAAAAGAAUUACCUUUUGGAAGUCAAGUUCACCUGUGGUUACUGUACAUGUACUGUGUCGUCUUGUGUCAGCAAAACCAGCUGUUGUCAGGGUACUGCAGGGUGGGGUGCAUGAGCUCACAAAGAAGGCUGUCAGAUAGGAUUUACUGGGAAGUGGGUCUGUGCAAUGAUCUUUAUGAAAUUAGAAAGAACAACCAUCCCAAAGCUCAGCAAAGCCCUGUGUCUGAGCACAGUGUGACUGCCAUCCCUGUGGACAGGCAGCCCCUGUCCAAACAUGUGGGGAAACCUCCAGCUCUUUGCAGUCAGAUGAAUGCGGAGGGCUCUUCAAACAUGAAAUUCCUAAGUGCUUUGGGGUAUUUUCACUUUCCUGGGAUAUUCUUCCCAGAUGAGACUGCACUGUAUUGCCUCAGAUCUAUGCCAGAAGGAAUUACAGAUGUUUCAGAGGAAGCGUGCAGAAACCAUGCAGCUGAAACAGAAUAAAUUAUGCUUAAAAUCAAGGAAAUGUCCUAAUAAGUGAGAAAUGCACCCAUUUCUCCUUGAGCUUCUUUUCUUGCUGCUACCACCUGUGUUUAUUUUUUUGUAUUUUUUUUUUUUACUUUACGGUGUGGUACAGGAGCUGGUUCUUCCAAUGAAAAAGCCUGUAGUAAGACCAAAGUUUUAAAGGAUUUUUAGAAUUUCUUACAUUUUCUAACUUCAAAAUACUUUAGCAAAAUGUGCAGGUGUAUGUCUUUAUCUGUAAGACAGAAAAACAUGCUUCUGGAAAAGUCGUUAGAACUGCACCCCCUGCCCCCCCCAACAAACUACAGGUCGAGCAUUUGACCCAGCCACCAAGCACAGCCCCAGGUGUUUGCAAAAGUGCUCCCACAUUGAAGCAGUGGAGCAAAAGGAGCCCCUGCACUCAUCUGGGCAGCAUGUCUCUUUUACUGUCUGCAAUGUGCUGAAUUCAGCAAGGAGUUUCUAAUUUUCUGCCUCCCCAUGGCUGUAUCCCAGGAGAAGCUGCAGACAUCUGUGGCAGACAAUGAGUCAUGUGCCUUGGCUCUUUGCUUUACAGCGAGCUUUUGCUUUACAAGCAAUGCCCAUUGCAUACACAUACAUGUACUCCAGCAAUGUUCAAAUACUUCUGGUCUCCUAAUUUUAGGCUGUUUUUUUAUCACCAGUUUCCCCUUGGAAACAAUGAAAUAAAGAGCGUACCUAAAAAGCCUGGCCCA
rnacentral:lncRNA from 1 species